rnacentral:rRNA from 1 species
CCUGCCCAAGAGAUCGGGAUAACACCUGGAAAACNGAUGCUAAUACCGGAUAACAACAGAUGAUGCCUAUCAACUGUUUAAAAGAUGGUUCUGCUAUCACUCUUGGAUGGACCUGCGGUGCAUUAGCUAGUUGGUAGGGUAACGGCCUACCAAGGCGAUGAUGCAUAGCCGAGUUGAGAGACUGAUCGGCCACAUUGGGACUGAGACACGGCCCAAACUCCUACGGGAGGCAGCAGGC